UCGGGAAUUUUGGGCAAUGGGCGAAAGCCUGACCCAGCAACGCCGCGUGAGGGAUGAAGUAUUUCGGUAUGUAAACCUCGAAAGAAUGGGAAGAAUAAAUGACGGUACCAUUUAUAAGCUCCGGCUAACUACGUGCCAGCAGCCGCGGUAAUACGGAGGGUGCAAGCGUUAUCCGGAUUCACUGGGUUUAAAGGGUGCGUAGGUGGGUAUGUAAGUCAGUGGUGAAAUCCCCGAGCUUAACUUGGGAACUGCCAUUGAUACUAUAUAUCUUGAAUACCGUAGAGGUAAGCGGAAUAUGUCAUGUAGCGGUGAAAUGCUUAGAUAUGACAUGGAACACCAAUUGCGAAGGCAGCUUACUAUGCGGUGAUUGACACUGAGGCACCAAAGCGUGGGUAGCAAACA
rnacentral:rRNA from 1 species